AGUGAACGCUGGCGGUAGGCCUAACACAUGCAAGUCGAACGGCAGCACAGUAAGAGCUUGCUCUUACGGGUGGCGAGUGGCGGACGGGUGAGGAAUACAUCGGAAUCUACUUUUUCGUGGGGGAUAACGUAGGGAAACUUACGCUAAUACCGCAUACGACCUACGGGUGAAAGCAGGGGAUCUUCGGACCUUGCGCGAUUGAAUGAGCCGAUGUCGGAUUAGCUAGUUGGCGGGGUAAAGGCCCACCAAGGCGACGAUCCGUAGCUGGUCUGAGAGGAUGAACAGCCACACUGGAACUGAGACACGGUCCAGACUCCUACGGGAGGCAGCAGUGGGGAAUAUUGGACAAUGGGCGCAAGCCUGCUCCAGCCAUACCGCGUGGGUGAAGAAGGCCUUCGGGUUGUAAAGCCCUUUUGUUGGGAAAGAAAAGCAGCAGGUUAAUACCCCGCUGUUCUGACGGUACCCAAAGAAUAAGCACCGGCUAACUUCGUG
rnacentral:rRNA from 1 species